UACAGGGGGGGCAAGCGUUGUUCGGAAUUACUGGGCGUAAAGGGCUCGUAGGUGGCCAACUAAGUCAGACGUGAAAUCCCUCAGCUUAACUGGGGAACUGCGUCUGAUACUGGAUGGCUUGAGUUUGGGAGAGGGAUGCGGAAUUCCAGGUGUAGCGGUGAAAUGCGUAGAUAUCGGAAGGAACGCCGGUGGCGAAAGCGACGUGCUGGACCUCUUCUGACGCUGAGGCGCGAAAGCUAGGGGAGCAAACGGG
rnacentral:rRNA from 1 species